rnacentral:rRNA from 1 species
GAUGAACGCUGGCGGCGUGCUUAACACAUGCAAGUCGAACGAUGAAGCCCAGCUUGCUGGGUGGAUUAGUGGCGAACGGGUGAGUAACACGUGAGUAACCUGCCCUUGACUCUGGGAUAAGCCCGGGAAACUGGGUCUAAUACCGGAUAGGAGCGCCUGUCGCAUGACGGGUGUUUGAGAGAUUUUUCGGUCAUGGAUGGACUCGCGGCCUAUCAGCUUGUUGGUGAGGUAAUGGCUCACCAAGGCGACGACGGGUAGCCGGCCUGAGAGGGUGAACGGCCACACUGGGACUGAGACACGGACCAGACUCCUACGGGAGGCAGCAGUGGGGAAUAUUGCACAAUGGGCGGAAGCCUGAUGCAGCGACGCCGCGUGAGGGAUGACGGCCUUCGGGUUGUAAACCUCUUUCAGUAGGGAAGAAGCGAAAGUGACGGUACCUGCAGAAGAAGCACCGGCUAACUACGUG